GCCUGGGUGGCUCAGUCGGUUGAGCGUCUGACUUUGAUUCAGGUCAUGAUCUUGUGGUUUGUGAGUUGGAGUCCCGUAUCAGGCU
rfam:Felis catus isolate Cinnamon breed Abyssinian chromosome B3, whole genome shotgun sequence.